rnacentral:rRNA from 1 species
UGGGGAAUAUUGCACAAUGGAGGGAACUCUGAUGCAGCGACGCCGCGUGAACGAAGAAGGCUUUCGUGUCGUAAAGUUCUUUUAUAUGGGAAGAUAAUGACGGUACCAUAAGAAGAAGCCCCGGCUAACUACGUGCCAGCAGCCGCGGUAAUACGUAGGGGGCUAGCGUUGUCCGGAAUCACUGGGCGUAAAGGGUUCGCAGGCGGAAAUGCAAGUCAGGUGUAAAAGGCAGUAGCUUAACUACUGUAAGCAUUUGAAACUGCAUAUCUUGAGAAGAGUAGAGGUAAGUGGAAUUUUUAGUGUAGCGGUGAAAUGCGUAGAUAUUAAAAAGAAUACCGGUGGCGAAGGCGACUUACUGGGCUCAUUCUGACGCUGAGGAACGAAAGCGUGGGUAGCAAACAGG